CGUCGCUGAUUUUACGAACCGGCAUACGAAGCGUUUUUCGUGUAAAUUUUCGAUUUUAAUAUUUUUACAUAUUCUGAAUGAUAUUACCAUGAUCAACCUUUCUGCAAAAUUUUAGGUCAUAAAACGCUUUAAUUAAAAAGUUAUUCGAUUUUAUAAAAUAUGUGCGCUUUGUAUGCCAGUUCGUAAAGCUUGAGUUAACGCGCGAAAAGGAAUUUGUUGAUUUUACGAACCGGCACGCCUAGCUAUAACUAGUCUGCUAGCAGAAUAGGAUUCACCGGAAUCUGAUGCUUAAACUUCGAGUCUGCGUGGAACUGAUGGAGUUUAUCCAGGAUAGCCUUGUCCCGUAGAACAGGGACAAAUCUACUAACUUGACUGAUAUCAAAAGGAGAAAGAAUUCGGUACCAAGGAGAGGCACUUAGGUGAAAAUGAAAUAGGGCAGCAGGUGGUGGCGGGGAAAAUGUUGGCAGUGUCGGAACCUGGACUUGUACACACCAUGGAUAUGGGAGACAUCCCAUUAGCUGAGCUUGUUAUUCAGAUACGUUCACACCCAAUGACCGAUGAUACUAAAUUUGACUGCCCACAGACUGACAGCCUAAAAAUGCUCCUGACAGAGUUGAAAUGCCCAUCAGAGGUCCAGCAAGGAUGUAAUGUCCCAUACAUUGACCCCUUUUGAUUGAAGACCAGCCAACUUAAAGCUCACAGAUUGGUGUGAUUCAAUUGGCCCCAGUUCUACAAAAGGAUAGCCCACAGUUUGCUGACAGCCCACACACUGACUGCUAUUAGAACAAUGGUCCACAAAUAAUUGCUCAACAAGUUGAGAGCCAAGGGAUCCCAAACCCAUGGACAACAGGUCACUGGUUUUUAGUUCUCGGACCUGGUGAGGACAUCCCAAAGGCAGAAUGAAACAAAACCCAUGGAGUUGGAUACAGACUUUGAGGAUGAAGUACACAAAGUGGAAUCUGACACAGAAAACUUCCUGUUAGCUGCUGUUGGUCAGUAAUAGCACAGCAGAUGUUUCACCUGUUAUAUUGGAAUUUGUAUUCAUGUAAUUUGAAUCAUAAUCAUUCAAAUUAUAUACAUCUAUAUAUAUAUUACAUAAUUCUUUUAAUUUGUCCAAGGUUUACAAGUAAAAGAUAUGUUCAAAAUAACAUUGUUAUUUACACUUGGUUAUUCCAAAACAACUUAACUAGUACUCAUGCUACAACAUCCUAACAUAUAGUAUGACUUUAUCAGAAAAUUACAUUACCUUCUUCGUGUUUAUUUUGUAGCCUUCAUUUGCAAGCCUCCACCAGGAUCUUGAAAUGUAAUAGGUUUAUUGUCAUUUAAAUUCAACAACUUAAUACAAUAACAAGUAAUCA